rnacentral:rRNA from 1 species
AGCUAUACAUGCAGUCGAGGGGCAGCGCAGUGUAGCAAUACAUGGGCGGCGACCGGCAAACGGGUGCGGAACACGUACACAACCUUCCUUUUAGUGGAGCAUAGCCCAGGGAAACUUGGAUUAAUACUCCGUAAUAUAAUGAGAUGGCAUCAUUUUGUUAUUAUAGAAGCAAUUCGCUAGAAGACGGGUGUGCGGCUGAUUAGAUAGUUGGCGGGGUAACGGCCCACCAAGUCCACGAUCAGUAACUGGUGUGAGAGCACGACCAGUCACACGGGCACUGAGACACGGGCCCGACUCCUACGGGAGGCAGCAGUAAGGAAUAUUGGUCAAUGGACGCAAGUCUGAACCAGCCAUGCCGCGUGGAGGAUGAAGGCCCUCUGGGUUGUAAACUUCUUUUAUAGGGGACGAAAAAGGGUCUUUCCAGAUCAACCGACGGUACCCUAGGAAUAAGCACCGGCUAACUCCGUGCCAGCAGCCGCGGUAAUACGGAGGGUGCAAGCGUUAUCCGGAUUCACUGGGUUUAAAGGGUGCGUAGGUGGGUUAGUAAGUCAGUGGUGAAAUCUUCGAGCUUAACUCGGAAACUGCCAUUGAUACUAUUAGUCUUGAAUAUUGUGGAGGUUAGCGGAAUAUGUCAUGUAGCGGUGAAAUGCUUAGAUAUGACAUAGAACACCAAUUGCGAAAGCAGCUGGCUACACAUAUAUUGACACUGAGCGCGAAAGCGUGGGGAUCAAACAGGAUUAGAUACCCUGGUAGUCCACGCCCUAACUAUGGAUACUCGACAUACGCGAUACACUGUGUGUGUCUGAGCGAAAGCAUAAGUAUCCCACCUGGGAGUACGAUCGCAGAUGAAACUCAAAGAUUGGCAGGUC